rnacentral:rRNA from 1 species
AUUAGACGAAUCAUCUGGAAAGAUGAAUCAAAGAAGGUAAUAAUCCUGUAGUCGAAAAUGUUGUCUCUCUUGAGUGGAUCCUGAGUACGACGGAGCACGUGAAAUUCCGUCGGAAUCUGGGAGGACCAUCUCCUAAGGCUAAAUACUCUCUAGUGACCGAUAGUGAACCAGUACCGUGAGGGAAAGGUGAAAAGCACCCCGGAAGGGGAGUGAAAUAGAACCUGAAACCGUGUGCUUACAAGUAGUCAGAGCCCGUUAAUGGGUGAUGGCGUGCCUUUUGUAGAAUGAACCGGCGAGUUACGAUUUGAUGCAAGGUUAAGCAGUAAAUGUGGAGCCGUAGCGAAAGCGAGUCUGAAUAGGGCGUUUAGUAUUUGGUCGUAGACCCGAAACCAGGUGAUCUACCCUUGGUCAGGUUGAAGUUCAGGUAACACUGAAUGGAGGACCGAACCGACUUACGUUGAAAAGUGAGCGGAUGAACUGAGGGUAGCGGAGAAAUUCCAAUCGAACCUGGAGAUAGCUGGUUCUCUCCGAAAUAGCUUUAGGGCUAGCCUCAAGUGAUGAUUAUUGGAGGUAGAGCACUGUUUGGACGAGGGGCCCCUCUCGGGUUACCGAAUUCAGACAAACUCCGAAUGCCAAUUAAUUUAACUUGGGAGUCAGAACAUGGGUGAUAAGGUCCGUGUUCGAAAGGGAAACAGCCCAGACCA